GAUGAACGCUGGCGGCGUGCCUAAUACAUGCAAGUCGAGCGAACAGACGAGGAGCUUGCUCCUUUGACGUUAGCGGCGGACGGGUGAGUAACACGUAGGUAACCUACCUAUAAGACUGGGAUAACUUCGGGAAACCGGAGCUAAUACCGGAUAAUAUUUCGAACCGCAUGGUUCGAUAGUGAAAGAUGGCUUUGCUAUCACUUAUAGAUGGACCUGCGCCGUAUUAGCUAGUUGGUAAGGUAACGGCUUACCAAGGCAACGAUACGUAGCCGACCUGAGAGGGUGAUAGGCCACACUGGAACUGAGACACGCUCCAGACUCCUACGGGAGGCAGCAGUAGGGAAUCUUCCGCAAUGGGCGAAAGCCUGACGGAGCAACGCCGCGUGAGUGAUGAAGGUCUUCGGAUCGUAAAACUCUGUUAUUAGGGAAGAACAAACGUGUAAGUAACUGUGCACGUCUUGACGGUACCUAAUCAGAAAGCCACGGCUAACUACGUG
rnacentral:rRNA from 1 species